UUUAUAAUCUGGGCUUCUGCACUUGUGAUGAAAUUUUUCCCUGAUAUGCUUUUCUAUCCAGUAGGAAUUGACUGUAUAUUACCAAACUGUUACCAAGUAACUUACAGAUGCUGUCAAGAUUGGCUUAAUAUGAACUGGCGAGCUAGAGUAUGGAAGCAGGCAUGCCAUGAAACAAGAAGUCCUGCACACUGUACAGGUGUGUCAACCAGUGGAUGAUUAGACAUGCAAGGGCUGAUAAGUCUUUGGAUAGAAAUUGUUGUCCGCACUUGAAACUGCAGACAGCAGUUCUAGACUGCCAUAACCUCAAAUGGCUUUUAGGUAAGAAUGUGGAUCUCAUUUCCUAGAGUCUUGGGAGAACUGCUUUGUGGAUUUAGCUGUUAGUUACUGGUAGAAGUAUUUAAAAGAAAUGCAAACAAAAUUAUUC
rnacentral:lncRNA from 1 species